rnacentral:rRNA from 1 species
AAACAUGUCUUUUUGAGUUAAAUUUAAAGUCUGACCUGCCCACUGAAUAAUUUUAAAUGGCCGCAGUAUUUUGACUGUGCAAAGGUAGCAUAAUCAUUAGUCUUUUAAUUGAAGGCUGGUAUGAAUGGUUGGACGAAGUAUAAUCUGUUUCAUAUAAAUUUAUAAUAGAAUUUUAUUUUUUAGUAAAAAAGCUAAAAUUUUAUUGAAAGACGAGAAGACCCUAUAAAUCUUUAUAUUUAAUGUUAUUUUAAUUUUUUGGGUUUAUUUUAUUUUUAUAAUAUUGAAUAUUUUGUUGGGGUGAUGUUAAAAUUAAAUAAACUUUUAAUUAUUUAAGGUCAUUAAUUUAUGAAUUGUUGAUCCAAUAUAUAUUGAUUAUAAGAUUAAGUUACUUUAGGGAUAACAGCGUAAUUUUUUUUGAGAGUUCAUAUCGACAGAAAAGUUUGCGACCUCGAUGUUGGAUUAAGGUAUAAUUUUGGGUGUAGCUGUUCAAAAAUUAAGUCUGUUCGACUUUUAAAUCCUUACAUGAUC